rnacentral:rRNA from 1 species
UAGGGAAUCUUCCACAAUGGACGCAAGUCUGAUGGAGCAACGCCGCGUGAGUGAAGAAGGCUUUCGGGUCGUAAAACUCUGUUGUUGGAGAAGAAUGGUCGGCAGAGUAACUGUUGUCGGCGUGACGGUAUCCAACCAGAAAGCCACGGCUAACUACGUG